GGGGGCGAUAGGUGUCGACAGGGAACCUAGCAGCAUAAGUUGCGAGCCGAGGAGCCGUUGGCCUCGUUAAAAGCGGCAAAAAAACAAACGCGAAUAGCACUUACGCACUCGCUGCCUAAUUAGGCGGCGCGUCCGCCCGGCCUAAGCCGGCAGGGUCGGUUUCGGGCGUCACACAUGCCGGAUUACCCGCGGAACCUUGCCCGGGGAGUCUGCGGGGACAUUAAAUCGGGCUGGCGCAGGGGAAUCCCGCCUGCAGGAGUCAACUGCGCGAGAACAAAAUGCAGGAUACGCUCGUAGAAGCUUAUGUAGGCUGUUCCUUGGACCGGGGUUCGAGUCCCCGCGCCUCCACCA
rnacentral:tmRNA from 1 species